GGAGAGGAGAGGGUGAUGUCACCUGCGAGUUGGUAACCUACGAGCUGCUGUGAAGGAAACUGUUUAACCGGAUCCCAUUGUACCCGGAGAGCAGAGCCGCCUUUCUAGCAUGCGGGGGCUGCUCAGUGACCUAGGCUGCUGGUAGAGCCUGGACUAGAAGGAUGGAUCUGAAGUACUCCCACCUUCAAGAUAACCACCUCAUCAGCACCCUCUUCCCCAAAGAGGGACGGAUGAAUGACAUUGCCCUCUAUGCCAUUCCAGGAGCAGAGAACAGAGCAUAUCAGAGAGGAUUUGCAUCCAUAGUGUCUAAAAGUAUGUUAAAUGUUGAAUCCUAGGAGCACAAUGAUAGGUAUACAAAUUACCCCCACCUCAGUUUUAUUAUG
ensembl:lncRNA